CUGAUUGCUUCUUUCACACGAUCGCCUGAAACGUUAACUGAAUGACAAAAAGUAGAGCGAAAAUAUGUUUAUACCAGACCGGUUGUCUUCAAGGUGACCCUAUCGUUUCGAAUAAAUUAUCUCCCGAGUUCUUUGGUUCUGACUUCUGACUAACUUGUGACAACCCGUAGCAUACCCGUAGUGCUAGACGUGCUAGUGUUAGUAUGGAUACUAAAAUAAUCGAUUUUAAAUGUAUCGAUUAUAUAAAUUACUUGUUCAUAUCUA